GGAAAAUAAUUUUCGUAUCUUUUCGGAAACACUCAAGUCCCCACUCUGUACUGUUUCCUUGGUUUAUGGAUUGGGAAAUUGGUGCGAAGAUGAAGUUGAAGAUUAUCCUAACGCUGUUCUGUGUUUUUGGCACUGUUCUGGGCGAGAUUCACAAUCUUCAUUACAUUUACACCGCCCUUUCAAAGCCCAUCAGUCAACCAGGAGUCUAUCAGUUCGCCGCUAUGGGAAUUCUGGACGACAGGCCGAUUGACAUCUACAACAGCGAAGAAAAGGUCAAGAAGCCGUUGCAAACAUGGAUGAAAGAACAUAACGAGAAA